GAAAAGGCAAAGCACAGAGCCUGGGAAAAGGUCUGAAAAGGUCUGUUCUGAUGGGGUGUGAAAAGUAAAGCACACACUGAAGACACGAGACAGUUGAGACGUGGUUCUCUGGUCCUCUGCACCUUCUGGAGACGCUUUCCCCAGAGCCCUGUCAAACUGCACGCGUUGCUGUCCGGAGGGGUUUAAAAGUGAUUCAAACUCCUCGGGAAGCACAGACAUUUUAAUUCCAUCUGGUGCAGCCACUGAGCCCAGCUGCACGCGCUCUGCCAGCGCAAGGAGCCACCGGCCCCAAGAGCUGGGGCUCUGCCUUCUGAAUCCCUUCCUGAAACCCCAAAAUCCCUCCUUGAAGCCCUCGAAGCCCUGCUGCAGCGAAAGGCUCGUCCGGAAAGCGAAGGGAAAAAGAUCGAGGGACUCACCAGAGCGUAGACUGAACUCAGCACGGAGCAGCAGAGGAUCAAACCCAGGCUGUGAUAAACCAGAUAUGAUCCCAUAUCCAAGAGGCUCCUUCCAGCAUCCAAGCUCGCUCGGGGAAGUAGGAGGACGAGAGGUCUUCCAGCGCUCCGGUUGCGGAUGAUUUCUCCUUCUCCUUCCCUCCCGCCCCCCCCCCCCCCCCCCCUUCCAGAAUUUGUGUUUGUUUGAUUGUUUGUUUGUUUCCACAGUUUUAGCCAGAAAGGCACAUGACAAGAAAGCCCGGUCCUUUGCUUCGCUUUCUCAUGGCUGGAGAUCUGGGCAGCUCCCUGAGCGCAGCGGAGGAGCCCAUGUGAAGCGGAGCAACUCAGAGCUGCAGCCCCUGGUGCUGUUUGUUUUCCGUGUGCAUCUGUCUCAGAGCAGAAAAAUCACAUCCAUAUGUCAAAACUGCUAUUCUGUUUCCUUUUUAUGAGGCAGUGGGAAGUUCAAAUAAUUUCUUUGUCAAACGCAAACACACAGAGAGAGGCAGGGAGAGGGAGGGAGGGAGGGAGAAGGCGAGAGAGGGGUGGAAGGGGUGGGAGAUCGGGAGGGUGGGGGAGGCUUUUAACCACGGCUUUAUUUUUAGAUCCAGUAAUUUUAUCUUGUAGGUUUCAGAGGGGUUUUGGGAAAAAAAAAAAA